rnacentral:rRNA from 1 species
GUCUUCUUGGAUUUAUAAGAAGUCGGGCCUGCCCGGUGAAAUUUUUAACGGCCGCGGUAUUUUGACCGUGCAAAGGUAGCAUAAUCAUUUGCUCUAUAAUUGAGGGCUUGUAUGAAUGGUUUGACGGAGUUUAACUGUCUCUAUUUAAUUUUGUAGAAUUUAACUUUUAGGUGAAGAGGCCUAAAUACAAUUAAAAGACGAGAAGACCCUAUCGAGCUUUUGAUAGUUUACAUAAAAUUAAUGAAAAUAAUCUUUAAUUGGGGCAAUUAAGGAACAAAAAAAGCUUCCUUAUAUUUAUAUAACCGACGGCUGAUCCAUUAAUAAUGAUCUAAGGAAAAAGUUACCGUAGGGAUAACAGCGUUAUUUUUCUAGAGAGUUCUUAUUAAAAGAAAAGUUUGCGACCUCGAUGUUGGACUAAAGUUUCCUAAAGAUGCAGAAGUCUUUAAGGGUUGGUCUGUUCGACCAUUAAAACUUU